UUACUUCAGCAUCACAUAUAUUAAAAUUGGAACAAUACAGAGAAGAUUAGCAUGCCACCUGCACAAGGAGACAUGCAAACCACAAUUCAUGGAGUCCCUGUGU
ensembl:snRNA U6 U6 spliceosomal RNA